UGAGCUACUUUUCCUGCAUAGUGCUU
rnacentral:piRNA from 1 species